rnacentral:rRNA from 1 species
AGCGAACGCUGGCGGCAGGCCUAACACAUGCAAGUCGAACGAACCUUUCGGGGUUAGUGGCGGACGGGUGAGUAACACGUGGGAACGUGCCUUUAGGUUCGGAAUAACUCAGGGAAACUUGUGCUAAUACCGAAUGUGCCCUUCGGGGGAAAGAUUUAUCGCCGUUAGAGCGGCCCGCGUCUGAUUAGCUAGUUGGUUGAGGUAAUGGCUCACCAAGGCGACGAUCAGUAGCUGGUCUGAGAGGAUGAUCAGCCACAUUGGGACUGAGACACGGCCCAAACUCCUACGGGAGGCAGCAGUGGGGAAUCUUGCGCAAUGGGCGAAAGCCUGACGCAGCCAUGCCGCGUGAAUGAUGAAGGUCUUAGGAUUGUAAAAUUCUUUCACCGGGGACGAUAAUGACGGUACCCGGAGAAGAAGCCCCGGCUAACUUCGUG